AGAGUUUGAUCCUGGCUCAGAACGAACGCUGGCGGCGUGGAUAAGACAUGCAAGUCGAACGGGGCUUUGUUUGUAGCAAUACAAACAAAGUUCAGUGGCGAACGGGUGCGUAACACGUGAGCAAUCUGCCGGGAAGUGGGGGAUAGCUCGCCGAAAGGCGAAUUAAUACCGCAUAUGGCCAGGAAGGACAUUCUUCCGAAGCCAAAGCAGCAAUGCGCUUCCUGAUAAGCCCGCGGCCUAUCAGCUAGUUGGCGGGGUAACGGCCCACCAAGGCUAAGACGGGUAGCUGGUCUGAGAGGACGACCACCCACACUGGAACUGAGACACGGUCCAGACACCUACGGGUGGCAGCAGUAAGGAAUCUUCCGCAAUGGACGAAAGUCUGACGGAGCAACGCCGCGUGCAGGAUGAAGGCUUUCGGGUCGUAAACUGCUUUUGUAUGGGAAGAUUAUGACGGUACCAUACGAAUAAGGACCGGCUAACUACGUGCCAGCAGCCGCGGUAAUACGUAGGGUCCAAGCGUUAUCCGGAAUUACUGGGCGUAAAGCGUCUGUAGGCGGAUUGUUAAGUGCAUCGCGAAAUCCUGUGGCUCAACCAUAUGGACUGUGAUGCAUACUGGCAAUCUAGAGGAUGGCAGAGGCAAGUGGAAUUACCGGUGUAGCAGUGAAAUGCGUAGAUAUCGGUAGGAACACCAGUGGCGAACGCAGCUUGCUGCGUCCAUUUCUGACGCUAAGAGACGAAAGCGGUGGAGAGCGAACAGAUUAGAUACCCCUGUAGUCCACGCUGUAACGAUGCAACUAGCUAUUAUGGACUGAACGGUCGUCUAGUGUAGCGAGCUCAAGUCAGUACGUCGAGCUGACUGAUAAGUCGACCCCAUGCAUAUCAAUCGAAUGGAAUGACGUCGCCAGACAGUGGAUAAGACUAGUUUCAUCAGUCAUGCGAGCACGAUCCUUAGCCUGG
rnacentral:rRNA from 1 species